CACACGACUGCAGUAGGAGGCAGAAAAUAUUGGAAAUGUGCUUUCUCCUUCUUUCAAAAUUUAAUUGAUCAAGCGAAGUAGGAUAUUGAGGUUGGAACAAGUUCCUAGUUGGCGAGCGAUGAUGUGCAGUCAUUGUGCUUGGAUUCAUUGGAUUUAACAAAGCAAAUUCAAUGUAACGUGCCUGAAAACUUUAAACUCUGGCGGUAACCUUAGUCUUAUCAAUUCAUUUAACUCUUUCCUUUUA